GGAGCGAUGGUAGAGUGGUUGAAUACACCAGUCUUGAAAACUGGAAGGCUCGCAAGGGCCUCGCGAGUUCGAAUCUCGCUCGCUCCGCCA
rnacentral:tRNA from 1 species